AACAGCUUGUUCUCUCCAUCAACCUGACAAGUCUCUUGUUUCCUUUCAAGGAAGGCUGUGAACACCCCAUUUCACCUACCUCAGAAGGACAAUGAAGCAGUAGCCACCACGACCAAGAGAGUUGAUUCCAGAAGUGCAGGACAAGUCCCCCAGACGCUGUGACUGUGCAGUUACACACAAGAGGUGAGUCCAGCUGGCUCUCAGGGUGCUCACUACCUUCUGGGGGCCUGGAGGACAUCAAGUCUUGAGAACGCCACAUUCUAGAGGAGUAGAAUGAACUGACAGAUACACAGCAAAGCUCCGCAUACUCUUUCUUUUCUCAGUGCCCGCCGUGUUCUUCAUCAGUGUCCUCUCUCUUUUCAGCUACUACUGUUGACUGGCUGGAAUAAAUAGAACAAUAGUAAAAAUUGGAGACAAGUCUUUGGUGAUGAAGAGAAACACUGACUACUUCCAGGAUUUUCUAGCUUUGGCUAUGAUUGCAGUUUUCCAAUUCACCUUAUGCGGAUGGAUUCAGAGAAAACUUCUGUUACAAAUCAAAAUGAACAUGCCAGAAGUAUUGGCUCAAAUCAACUUUGUCUUAUUAAGCCACUUAGUGAAUCAAAAGACUACAGGCCGGGCACAGUGGCUCAUACUGCACUAGAACUUCAGAUGUUAAAGAGAAACGGUGAUCUUAAAUGUAACCACAGUGAGUGGGCUCGGAGGUGCUCACCGCUGCUGUCAUGGUUCAUUUGCUAAACUGCAUUGUCGCUGUGUCCCAGAACAUGGGCAUCGGCAAGAUCGGGGGCUGCCCUGGCUACUGCUCAAGAAUGAAUUCAGAUAUUUCCAGAGAAUGACCACAACCUCCUCAGUAGAAAGUCAACAGACUCUGGUGAUUAUGGGUAGGAAGGUGCUUAUGACUCAGGAAGUUGAUUCCUGAGAAGAAUCAACUUUAAAAUAUAGAAUAAAUUUAGUUCUUAGCAGAGAACUCAAGGAACCUCCACAAGGAGCUCUUUUUCUUGCCAGAAGUCUGGCUGAUACCUUAAAAUUUACUGAACAACCAGAAUUAGCAAAUAAAGUCGAUGUGAUAUGGAUAGUUGGUUGCAGUUCUGUUUGUCAGGAAGCCAUGAAUCACCCAGGCCAUCUUAAACUAUAUGGGACAAGGAUUAUGCAGGACUUUGAAAGUGACACUUUUUUUCAGAAAUUGAUUUGGAGAAAUACAAGCUUCUGCCAGAACACCCUGUGUUCCAUCUAAUGACCAGAAGGGGAAAGGCAUUAAGAACAAAUUUGAAGUAAUGAGAAGAAUAAUCAUAUGAAGGUGUUUCUGGUGUAUUUUAAGCUGUUCCCUCUGUCCCAGAAAAAAAGUGUGUAUUUUCCAUUUGAAAAAAAUACUUCUGUUGACUUUAGAUCUAUGGAGAAUUAUUUCUAAGCAAUGUAUUUUUAUUUCCCAUGAAUCUUGACUCUAUCAUAUACCAUUUAUGAAACGUUCUUGCUAAAACCAAGUGCCUCUCCAAGACCCCAGCUUAGUCCCCAGCACCUGCUCCAGUGAGCUGCCAUUCCACACCCAUCACAUGUGGCACUCUUGACAGUCCUUGACAUUGUCGGGCUUUUCACAUGUUGAUGGUAUCCAUUAAAGAUGAAGAUGCACAUACCCUUCAA